CAUGGCCCAGAGUCCUUCCUCCUGGCAGGGCACUAGGGCCCUUUCUGACAGGCUCGCAGCAACCAGAUUUGUUCCCUGGCUGCCCACCUCCACGUCCUCCACCCUGGGAGAGCUGAGUUCGUUUUCCUUUGACUGUUUUUUUAAUGCUUCCCUCAGGAGGCAGGCCACAGUCUUCCUGCACCACCCUCACGGGCUCUCACUGCUGGAGCAAUGAUUACUCACAGAUUUACCCAAGGAGAGUGUGUACUUGGAAUGGCUGUCCGUGUGUUCCCUGUGCACACACACACGCAUACCCGCACAUACACUGUGGUGACCUGACACACACACUUCCGUGAUCUCACACACUCGUGCACACACACACACUGCCCUGAUCUCACACAAACACACAAACACUGCCCUGAUGUCACACACACACACUACCCUGAUCUCACACACUCAUGCACACACACACACACUGCCCUGAUCUCAUACACACACACACACACUCUGCCCUAAUCUCACACAAACACUGCCCUUUGCCCUGAUCUCUCUCUCUCACAUACUGUCCUGAUCUCACACACUCAUGCACACAAACACACACUGCCCUAACCUCACACACAGACACACACACACUGCCCUGAUAUCAUACACACACACACAGACACACACAUACUGCCCUGAUAUCACACUCAUGCACACACACUGCCCUGAUCUCACACACUCAUGCACACAGACACACUGCCCUGAUGUCACACACACACACACACGCACACUGCCCUGAUCUCACACAUACACAUACACACUGCCCUGAUCUCUCUCACACACCCACUGCCCUGAUGUCACACACACACACACACACACACACUACCCUGAUCUCACACAAUCAUGCACACAUACACACACUUCCCUGACCCUAUCACUCUGCACAUUGGAGCUAAGCUCAUGAAGGCUGCUCAUGCAUUUUAUUUGGCAAGUCUCUCU
rnacentral:lncRNA from 10 species